rnacentral:rRNA from 1 species
GACAGAGGAUGCAAGCGUUAUCCGGAAUGAUUGGGCGUAAAGCGUCUGUAGGUGGCUUUUCAAGUCCGCCGUCAAAUCCCAGGGCUCAACCCUGGACAGGCGGUGGAAACUACCAAGCUGGAGUACGGUAGGGGCAGAGGGAAUUUCCGGUGGAGCGGUGAAAUGCAUUGAGAUCGGAAAGAACACCAACGGCGAGAGCACUCUGCUGGGCCGAUACUGACACUGAAGCACGAAAGCGUGGGGAGCAAACAGG